UUCCCGGGACCCGUUCAACCCAACCCACCCACCAAACAAUGCCAAUUAUCACAGCAAAUGAUGUAAUAAAGAGCUUAAAAUAGCAAAAUGGAAAUAAAAGACUGAAAAUUGUGAGAGAGUCUUGGCUGCUGCACAGAAUCUCUACUCUGAUUGCGAGGGAGCACGAACACUAUGGCCACCGCCAAAGAAUCUCCGAUGCCCGAAGCCACCACGGUCGCCCAAGAUUUCCCGCUGGAAUACCACAAAACGUUGGUGCUAUUUUUCAAGCGUAUGGGAGUUCUUGAAACGAUCAAACCACAGCACAACGUGAAGGACUCCUUCUCCAACCUUGUUGGUGGAAGUCUCAAAGUUGUCUCCGUUGAACGCGGCAAAAUCUCUUGCCUUGUUAAAGUCAAAGCUCCUCUUCUGAAUGCUUAUGGUGGAAUGCAUGGAGGGUCAGUUGCAGCUGUGGCUGAGAGGGUGGCAAUUGCUUGUGCCAGAACAGUCGUCGGAGAAGACAAGAGUCUCUUCCUCGGAGAACUUGGCAUCUCUUAUCUCUCUUCUGCGCCGCAAAAUGCAGAAGUAAUAAUUGAUGGGUCUGUAGUAAGAAGCGGGAGGAACCUGACAGUAGUUGCAGUUAAUUUCCGACUUAAGGAAUCAGGGCGGUUGGCGUUCUUGACUCGUGCAACAUUCUAUAAUAUGCCUGUUUCAAGUUUGUGAACCAACUCCUGAGUCCAAUAUCAUAAAACUCAAACAUCUCGGUAUCCAUGUUUAUCUGUUCUGGGCUGGCUUAAAGCCUUUGGAGUGAUUGAAGGCAAUAUGCAUGUCUGGAGCAGAGGGUAAUCUCGUUAUUGGUGAACUUCUGCUAUUAUUGUUCUCUCUUUAACUUCACAGCGCAUGAGAAAAUCAAGAAGAGGAUAUUAGGAUACAAGUCAUAAUGUGUCGGUCAUUUUCCUGUAGCAGCACAGGAUAACAAAUCAUAGUUUGUACUUUGAGGAUGGAGGUUGGUUUGUAAUCAAUUCUGAAGUUACCCUUUGCUAAUACUAUAGUGUUUCUGUCAAUAAACAGCUAAUUUCUUUGGAUA